UAGCCGUAAACGAUACUCGCUAGGUGUCGGCCACGGUGCGACCGUUGUCGGUGCCGUAGGGAAGCCGUGAAGCGAGCCACCUGGGAAGUACGGCCGCAAGGCUGAAACUUAAAGGAAUUGGCGGGGGAGCACAACAACGGGUGGAGCUUGCGGUUUAAUUGGAUUCAACGCCGGAAAUCUUACCGGGACCGACAGCAACAUGAAGGCCAAGCUGAAGACUUUGCUGGAUUAGCUGAGAGGAGGUGCAUGGCGUAGUCGUGU
rnacentral:rRNA from 1 species